UACGAAGGGGGCUAGCGUUGUUCGGAAUCACUGGGCGUAAAGCGCACGUAGGCGGGUUCUUAAGUCAGGGGUGAAAUCCCGAGGCUCAACCUCGGAACUGCCUUUGAUACCGGGAAUCUUGAGUUCGGGAGAGGUGAGUGGAAUUGCGAGUGUAGAGGUGAAAUUCGUAGAUAUUCGCAAGAACACCAGUGGCGAAGGCGGCUCACUGGCCCGAUACUGACGCUGAGGUGCGAAAGCGUGGGGAGCAAACAGG
rnacentral:rRNA from 1 species